rnacentral:rRNA from 1 species
GAUGAACGCUAGCUACAGGCUUAACACAUGCAAGUCGAGGGGAAACGACAUCGAAAGCUUGCUUUUGAUGGGCGUCGACCGGCGCACGGGUGAGUAACGCGUAUCCAACCUGCCCACCACUUGGGGAUAACCUUGCGAAAGUAAGACUAAUACCCAAUGACGUCUCUAGAAGACAUCUGAAAGAGAUUAAAGAUUUAUCGGUGAUGGAUGGGGAUGCGUCUGAUUAGCUUGUUGGCGGGGUAACGGCCCACCAAGGCAACGAUCAGUAGGGGUUCUGAGAGGAAGGUCCCCCACAUUGGAACUGAGACACGGUUCAAACUCCUACGGGAGGCAGCAGUGAGGAAUAUUGGUCAAUGGGCGGAAGCCUGAACCAGCCAAGUAGCGUGAGGGAUGACUGCCCUAUGGGUUGUAAACCUCUUUUAUAAGGGAAUAAAAUACGGGACGUGUCCUGUUUUGCAUGUACCUUAUGAAUAAGGACCGGCUAAUUCCGUG